CAUUCGUAAUUCGGUACUAUCGAGUAGUUAACCAAUUAUAGAAGUUUCUGAUUAGACUAACCUUCAACUACAGACGACAUAAUCUAGCCGAAACUUUCGUCAGAUCUUGACAUGUGCUAGUAUUUCGUAUUUCAUUUUAAAAAUGAAACUGAUUACACGUCCCAACGACUUCUCCGGUUUGAAAAUUUUACUGGCAUCUGAAUUCCUAAAUCUUCCCAUCGAAUUAGAAGUUACGCCAUCAGCGGAGAAAACCGUACUCAUCGUCAAUGACGACUGCCAACUCUUCUCGUGUAACGCAGCUGUGUGGUAUCUAGCUUGCCUGAGUGGCCAAAACAAAGUCAAUUUACAGCAAGAUAAAUGGAUGGACUGGGAAAGUACAACGCUACAUCCUGAAAUUCAGGCUUUUCUGAAUAAACAACCCCAACAGCUCAUCCCUACUCUAGAACAUCUUGAUAAGGCUACUCGAAACAAAUUUCUCAUCGGUAAUUCUUUGUCUGCAGCUGACAUAGUCAUUUUCUGUUCACUAAUUGUGAUUAGUGAUUGCAAGUUCAUGGCAAAUUGCCCCAACGUAACCAAGUGGUUUAAUAAUAUGUACACAAGUGCUCAAUUCAAGAUUGCAGCCUCUAAAUUGGACAUCAAAAUUAAGCAGACAGAACCAGAUCAGUGUGAAGAGGAAGAGGCGGCCAUCAGUCUAGAAGACAUUGAACACGCAGUCAAACAUUGGAAAACAAGCAAUAUCAACAAACCUAAGCCAAUUACUCAUCCUGUGUUACCGGUUGAAGGGGAACGAAAUGUUCUAAUCACGAGUGCCCUACCUUACGUGAAUAAUUUCCCACAUUUGGGCAAUAUCAUUGGCUGUGUCCUCUCUGCUGACGUCUUUGCUCGCUACUGCCGAUUGCGGAACUAUAACACGCUGUACAUUUGCGGGACGGACGAGUAUGGCACUGCUACUGAAACCAAAGCAUUGGAAGAAGGACUGACACCUCAGCAAAUUUGUGAUAAAUACUUCAAGCUCCAUGAUGGAGUUUACAAGUGGUUUGAUAUCAGCUUUGACCAUUUUGGACGUACUACUACUCCCAAUCAAACAAAGAUUGCUCAGGAUAUCUUUCUGAAACUGUAUCGAAACAAUUACUUGACAGAAGAUACUAUGGAACAGCUGUUGUGUGAGCAUUGCAAAAUAUUUUUGGCUGAUCGAUUCGUGGAAGGUACUUGUCCCUUGUGUGGUUACGAGGAUGCCAGAGGUGACCAAUGCGACAAGUGCGGUAAGCUGGUUAAUGCCGUUGAGCUUAAGUCACCAAGGUGCAAGAUGUGUCGUCAUGCUCCUGUGAUCAAAACGUCAAAGCAUCUCUUUCUCAAUUUGCCUCUGCUUGAAGACAAAUUGACGAGCUGGAUGGAUAGUGUGACCAGUGGUUGGACUCAUAAUGCCCGCGUUAUUGCCAAUUCCUGGGUGAAGGAAGGCUUGAAGCCACGCUGUAUUACUCGUGACUUAAAGUGGGGCACCCCUGUCCCUCUUGAAGGAUAUACAGACAAGGUCUUUUACGUGUGGUUUGAUGCACCCAUUGGCUACCUUAGCAUCACGGCUUGCUAUACAGAAGAAUGGGAACGCUGGUGGAAGAAUCGCGAACAGGUCGUCCAUUAUGAAUUCAUGGCCAAGGACAAUGUUCCCUUCCAUUCUGUUGUUUUUCCGUCUUCGCAGCUCGGCACACACGAUCCGUAUACACUGGUCAAUCAUCUGGUUGCCACCGAGUAUCUCAAUUACGAGGAUGGCAAGUUCUCAAAGAGUCGUGGAGUCGGGGUUUUUGGAAACAAUGCCCAAGAAACUGGCAUUCCAGCCGAUGUCUGGCGAUUUUACCUACUUUAUGUCCGUCCGGAAUCACAGGAUUCAACUUUCUCGUGGUCUGAUUUGAUGGCCAAGAACAACACCGAAUUGCUUAAUAAUCUAGGCAACUUUGCUAAUCGUGCACUGAGUUUCUUGGAAAAAAAUUAUGGUUCCUGCGUUCCAGCCAUGACGCUAGGACAAGAAGAAAAGAUGUUGCUAGUCCGCAUCAACCGCGAAUUGAAGCAAUACAUCGCGCUCCUGGAGAAUGCGAAAUUGCGUGAUGCUAUUAAACCCAUCUUCAGCAUAUCGCGUCUAGGCAAUCAGUUGAUGCAAGCCGCACAGCCAUGGGUGUUGAUUAAGAGUACGAUAGAAGAGGAGAAGGCAAAGGCGGGCACAGUCAUUGGGUUAUGUGCCAACAUAAUUUGUCAGUUGUCGGUCAUGUUACUCCCAUACAUGCCGAACCUGUCUGCGAAACUCCAGGAACAACUCGGUGUCGGACCAGACAUCAACCAUUUGAUACCGGAAUUUACUUGCCGUCUACCUGCUGGCCACCGAAUCGGCAAGCCUGCUCCUUUAUUCCAAAAAAUAGAACAGGUCCAAAUCGAUGAAUUAAAGAAGCGGUUCUCUGGCGCCCAAGUUGGAUCUGCUUCUCCAGGGAAUCCAGCCGUUGCUACUCCAGCCCCUCCGUUGGCAGAAGCCUCAAAUACCCUUGAAACUCCAGAAAAUCUGGCUCUGAAAGUGGCCCAGCAGGGUGACAAAGUGCGCCAAUUGAAAGCUGCCAAGGCUGAGAAAGCUAUUGUUACAGCUGCUGUAGCCGAACUGUUGGAUUUGAAGAAAAGACUGGCAACUGCGGAAGAAGUAGCAACUAAGCAAACAAAUGACACACCAGCUGCAACGACCGAGAAGCCUACACUGACAAAUAGCGUUGAAAACCUGACCAAACAAGUUACCGAACAGGGAGACAAAGUUCGUGGUCUGAAAACCACCAAAGCAGACAAAGCUUCAAUCGAUGCGGCCGUCGCCGUUCUCCUGGAAUUGAAAAAACAACUUGCUCUAGCCGAAGGAAAAGAUCCGGCUGAGAGCAGUGGUAAUGCAACCGGUAAAAGCAAGAAGAAGGGACAACAAAAAUAGUUUUUGGUGGUAUUUUCCAACUACUCGGUCACGCUGCUUCUGGUCUUGGAGUAUACAAGCGUUCUAUUAAGGGAGGAAAAAAAAAAUACAUGGUCGGGAAUUCGGCGUCCCUGUCUCCCAGAAAAGUUGACGGAAUGAAAGAAUUUAUCGUAGUGGCUGUAGAACAUCAAAAAGAAAGACAACAAAAAUCCUGGACAAUUGUGCUUGACAAACUUGGAGGAUGCGUAUCAUUUCUAUUCCAUCAUUUAAAACCUGAAUAUAUCUCUGAAUUAUCGUAACGUGACACCCAGAUAGACACAUUUGGAUGUUUUAGAAAUAUUUCGCUGGCAGGUUACAUUCAUAGAUGGAUUGCCGCAAACCUGCCGCCACGACCCGAUGUUCCAUGCUGCCUGUUCCAGAGCAAAAGCCAGCACGCUCGGAUGCGUUUUCAACUCACGGAAUGUAAUCCUUUGGCCAUUUUAUAACGUGUUCAUAUUAGGGCCAAUGAUAAUGGGGGAGGUGAAACUCUCACGGCGACAGAUUUCAUGACCAUCUGCAGAAGAAAAAGGAUGAUGGUAAUCAACUAAUUCUUAUUCACUCGAGAGCAUCACCUGUAAUCUUUUCAAACCACCGACUCGAACUCUUUGGUGACUCCUCUCUCUGCUUCAUGCCGACUAAUGCCAGUCUUGUUUCCCCGACUUGUUGUUGGUAUGUUGAAAUGCCGUUCCCAGACUAGUUUUUAUUGAAAAUACCUAAAAGGACAAAAGUGACCAAACUUGGUCAAGUCGCCAAAUGAAAUGCACGAGAAAGAAUAAUACCGCCCUCAACUGAAAGUGUGGUUCAACUUUGAAUCUCUCUUUCCCAUUGCUGGCUGCCAUUUGAUAUGCUGGAUUGAUCAAGAAGUAACAAAUGAGGUUAAAUUAGGAAUACAACUAUGGAACUUGGCAUCGAUCAUGUCUACUUGUAAGAAAAAAUAUGCGAGGACUGGACAAAAAAAAAGGGGGGACACUGAAAAGGCACUUGGAAAAUCAUCCCAUGUUUACCAAAGAGUUUGGCGAAAAAAAAUUUGGCAGAGACGCAAGGAAAUGAAUCCAGAAACGCAGGAAAUUUUUUGUUCAAAAUGAAAUGGAAUAUCUGGGAAAACAAGAGGAAUGUCAUAAGAUGUAUUGCCCUUUCAAGAUGUUUAUCAAAUUCAUAGUAGUAAUAACUCAAAUUUCACACAAAACAAGUUGAUAUUCAAUCGUGUCAACCAACUUCUACGUGGAUCAGUGUAGGCGAGCAUAAUUCACUGUUUUUUAUGCUAGUCAAGAAAGAAAAGCAGCUGUUUCUACGUUACUGCCUAUAAUCGUCAAUCUUGAAACUUUAUGUCUACGGCAGACAUGUUGAGUGCUGAACCAAUACGAAAAUCACAGGACGGUACUGACAAUGUUUGAGCUGUCUGAAGAUGUUGAUUGCCUACAUUGUUGAAGGAACUCCAUUUGGCAAAGACAAGGAACGAACCUUGUUUCAUUCCUUUCGUUUUCUCGUUUCGAUUAACUGUCCGAAGACACGACUGGUGGCGGAUGAAAAGAUAGCCUUUGUUAGUACUGAGCAGCCAGACUACGUAUAUAUUUGACAAGGUUGAAGCAUAUCCAAUUAUCCAUUCCUGCAGUUUUUCCCCGACCGUGCGACGAUGGCUCCCGCAGACUGGAUUCUCCACAAACCUUUCAACGAAAGAAAAAGGGAAGUACUUUUCUCGAAAUGAUGCAAACAAUUCCAUUGAUUAUUGAGCAAUGACUCUGUUGGCCACCAGCGUCGUUAUCAGUUGCAGAAACUACCCUCGCAGUAGUGUAUGCAGGAAUCGUACAAUCAAGUAGAUCCGGCCACCUAGACUAACCACAUUCUCCAGCCCUCCGCUACCAUUAUAUCUCGUCGCCUUAAAAAGGCUAUUCAAAUCAGUCGAUGCUGGCUGCCAUAAGAGACAAGGUGCAUUUGUAGGAGCCAGUCAGCAGUCUAUAAAGUGUACAAAUUUCCAAUCACCAUGUACAGGGCCAGAUAUCUAAACCAAGGCCAAGGUAAAAUCCGGCGAAUGGCGAAACCAUAGGCACUGAAUUCGGGAGAGACAGAGAGAAACGAGAGACAAACUAAAAAGAAAAAUGAUAUAAUGCCAACUAUCUUUGAAGAAUAUUUCUCCUCCAAAGCCGAAAGGCCGCAUCCAGUCGCUCCAUGUGUGCCUAUAUUGUGCUGACGCGACAUUAUUUGGUUGAGAAUCAAAGGGAAUGUUUGUUCUCGUUGCACAGAAACAAACAACGUUUUGAAAAAAGGAAAAAAGAUGGGGAAAAAAUCCAUGUUCAUUCGAGUCCUAGUGGCCUGUCAGUGACAGGUGACUUAGAAAACAAUAGACUUUCUAUGUGAGAAAGCAAUAAUCAAUUUAAAAGGCCGUGCCUAUUUUAAAAACAAACAAAACUAUAUUACGUAAUGAUGCAGCAGCCUUUUUGCCGGACUCGUAUUUGAUCAACUCAUAGGAAUCAACUCAACAUUCCUUUGCAGCUUGUUUUACCUGUUUCUCGGGGCUUGUUAACGAUUUUUUAUCACGACAUGUUUCUCAACGAAGCACAUCCCACCACAUUAUUACUAUCAGUUAGCAAGAAAGUGCGAAUGAUUAUCGCGUGAGCUGGCAUUUUGUUAGAUCCUAAAAUCCCAAGUGACGUAUAGAUUAAUAAAUAAAGAUGCUGGACUGAG